rnacentral:rRNA from 1 species
AUGUCUGGGAAACUGCCUGAUGGAGGGGGAGUAACUACUGGAAACGGUAGCUAAUACCGCAUAACGUCGCAAGACCAAAGAGGGGGACCUUCGGGCCUCUUGCCAUCGGAUGUGCCCAGAUGGGAUUAGCUUGUUGGUGGGGUAACGGCUCACCUAGGCGACGAUCCCUAGCUGGUCUGAGAGGAUGACCAGCCACACUGGAACUGAGACACGGUCCAGACUCCUACGGGAGGCAGCAUG